CCCGGGCCUUGUACACACCGCCCGUCACACCAUGGGAGUUGGUUUUACCCGAAGACGGUGCGCUAACCGCAAGGAGGCAGCCGGCCACGGUAAGGUCAGCGACUGGGGUG
rnacentral:rRNA from 1 species